rnacentral:rRNA from 1 species
CACUAUGCUUAGCCCUAAACUAAAAUAGCUUACCACAACAAAGCUAUUCGCCAGAGUACUACUAGCAACAGCCUAAAACUCAAAGGACUUGGCGGUGCUUUACAUCCCUCUAGAGGAGCCUGUUCCAUAAUCGAUAAACCCCGAUAAACCCCACCAUCCCUUGCUAAUUCAGCCUAUAUACCGCCAUCUUCAGCAAACCCUAAACAAGGUACCGAAGUAAGCACAAAUAUCCAACAUAAAAACGUUAGGUCAAGGUGUAGCCCAUGGGAUGGAGAGAAAUGGGCUACAUUUUCUACCCUAAGAACAAGAACUUUAACCCGGACGAAAGUCUCCAUGAAACUGGAGACUAAAGGAGGAUUUAGUAGUAAAUUAAGAAUAGAGAGCUUAAUUGAAUCAGGCCAUGAAGCGCGC